GAUGAACGCUGGCGGCGUGCCUAAUACAUGCAAGUCGAGCGAACAGAUGAGAAGCUUGCUUCUCUGAUGUUAGCGGCGGACGGGUGAGUAACACGUGGGUAACCUACCUAUAAGACUGGGAUAACUCCGGGAAACCGGGUCUAAUACCGGAUAAUAUUUUGAACCGCCUGGUUCAAUAGUGAAAGACGGUUUCGGCUGUCACUUCUAGAUGGACCCGCGCCGGAUUAGCUAGUUGGUAAGGUAACGGCUUACCAAGGCGACGAUACGUAGCCGACCUGAGAGGGUGAUCGGCCACACUGGAACUGAGACACGGUCCAGACUCCUACGGGAGGCAGCAGUAGGGAAUCUUCCGCAAUGGGCGAAAGCCUGACGGAGCAACGCCGCGUGAGUGAUGAAGGUCUUCGGAUCGUAAAACUCUGUUGUUAGGGAAGAACAAAUUUGUUAGUAACUGAACAAGUCUUGACGGUACCUAACCAGAAAGCGACGGCUAACUACGUGCCAGCCGCCGCCGUAA
rnacentral:rRNA from 1 species